AUGUAAUUGAAGCCAUGUAAUUAUGCAACAUAUCAGCUGUUAAAGGCAAAUAGCCUGAGACAAAAGUAGUGACUGAGAAAUUAUUCUGAAUGUUCCUCUGCAACAUUAGCCACACUUUCCAUAUGAGACUGGUUUCUGCUAUAUGUGGUUUUCCUGUGAACAAGUUCCACAUUAACUUCUCUAUUCAAUCAACCCUCUCUGACACAGUCACCAUCUUCUGUGAAGUCAGACUAACAGUCUGUAGAUGUCUGAUAAAUGGCGUUGUUCAUCCCUGAUAUGGCUGGUCAUCUGUUUCUGGUCAUCCUCCUUUUCGUCACCUUCCAAUACAUCGAAGCCCAAGGUCCUUAUCCAAAACCAGACAUUACCUUAAAAUUUGAUGAGGACUUCAACAUCAUCUGUUUGAUUCCUGGAUCUGUCAGUCCUGACACCACCUGUUACCUGUAUGUUGGAGAGGAGAGUCAACCAUCCUUCACAGUAAAGAUCAAGAAUCGGAAAGCCACCACAGCAUCCGGACAGCAUUUCUGUCAAUUCACUCCAAAACAUAGUGAUCUGAUCAGUCGUCUUCAGUCAGUGAGGAAUAAGGAGGUGAGCUGUGACUACAGAUUGAGCUCAGGACCAAACUCUCUCUCACCACGCAGUGAUGGGUACAGCUUUGCACAUCUGGUGGGAGUUCACAUCAGUGAUCCAACAACUAUACAGACACCUUCUAUAGCAGCAGGUUCAACUGUUAGUUCUACUUGGACCCCAAACACCCCAGCGAGACCAACUACCAAUAGUCCCACUAAAUGUUUGACCUCUCCUUUGACCCCCAGUACAGCACUGAAUCCAUCAUCAGGUUCAACUGUUAGUUCUACUUUGACCACUGACACUCCAAGUAAAGCAGAUUCGACUGUUACUUCUACUUUGAUUACUGGCAUCACAGUGAGACCAAAUACCAGUUUGACCUCUCCUUUGACCCCCAGCACAGCAGUGAAUCCUACAUCAGGAGGUCAAAGCUCCACAGAAAGCGUUCGGGCAGGUUUGACUGUUACUUCUACUUUGACCGCUGGCAUCACAGUGACAACAACUUCUGUGCAAUUAUGGCAGGCAGCAGUGGGUGUGGCUUCUGGAGUGGGUGUGUUCCUGAUGGGAUUGACAGCUGUCUGUCUCUGCUGGAGGACCAAGAAACAUUCUCAGAGACCUACAGACAGACAGGAUGAUCACAGCCAAUGUGAUUUGGUGAUGGGAGCUAUGAGCAGUGCAGACAUGUUGGAUUCAAGGGAUGCUGGGAUCUAUUCUCUCAUCACCUUUGUACCGUCCACAUUUUUUCCCUCAGGCCCUGUUGAAGAGAAUGGACAGUCAACUGAAAAAGAAAAUUCUGAUACGUACCACGUAUACAGCUCAAUCACCGACCGACCAGCAACAUCAGCCCAACCGGAUGGGUUGUACAGUCUUCUGCAAGCACACUGACACUACACCACUGGCUCUCUGUAGCUAUUUCUCACAGAAAUACUCUUUCUUGCAGGAUGACCUUUAUUUAUCAAACAUCAUGUUACUGUAAAUAAGUAUAUAAUACAUCUGCUGCAGUACCGUUUCUAUUCAUAAGCAACAUAAGUGGCUGCCAUCCCAUAGCAAAAUGUGUAGAACUGCAGGAAAUAAGCUUUAAAACUGAAUUUCUUUCUACCCCAUGGCAUAAUGUGUACAAAUGCGGGAAAUUAGCUUUAUAACUGCAAAGUUCCCUCCACCCCAUGGCAAAAUGAGUAGAAUUUCAGGACAUUAACUUUAAAGCUGCACAUUUUUCACUAAAAUGUUUUUCUUUAGAACUUUAGAAGCCUAAAUACACUAUAAAUUUCCAUUUCCUGCUGUACAGGAAAAUUCUCAUAAAAAAAGAGUGAUCAAAUUAAGAUCCUACAUCUGUACAAUGUUUUGAAACACACUAUAGCCCAACAGUAAAGAUGGUAGAUCAGGCUAUGGGGAUGGCUUAUUUUGUUUAAAAAAGUGGUGGGUCCGCCCUCACCUCCUAAUCCCUCUUCUAUAAGAUUCUUGAUAUACAGUAAAUACAAAAUCCUACACUUUUUUACUCUGUUCGAAACGCUCUCUUCUGUAAAACAAAAAGCAUGCAAAAUACAUUGAAUUCAACCAUUCCCUCGUCUUUGUUAGUAUUUUACAUUAUUUGAUUUUGAUCUUGAUUAUUCAAGAUAAUGCUAAAAAUAUGUACUGUAAUCCAUGUCAUCGUUUUCAGGCCGUUGGUGAAGAUCAAGGUGCUAUUUUCCCUAAAUGUUUUUUUCAGUCCAUAUAACUACCUUGUCAUCUUAACCAAACCUCUUUUGGUCGGUUUCCCAGAGACAGUUUAUGCUUAGUUCUGGACUAAAAAGCAUGUUCAAUGGAAAAGUUACAUAUUUUUACUCCAGUGGUAAACUUAAUCUGGGUCUGGGAAACCAACCAUUGGUGUUAUGGACUACAGGUAGUCAAGGACAUUGAUCAUUUUGCAUCCAGAUUCUAUGUAUUGUGGUUAGUUCUACUGUGAAGGGGGCAAAGAUGACUACAUUCUCCUGCAGCAGUCACAGAAAGUCUGCAGAUCACAUACCAACCAGUACAUGUAUACUGUCACGUAUCCACACCUACAAACAGGUGCACGAGUGCACAAUAUACACAAACCACAGCAGGGUGGAAAGGAUGACAUCUUGUCCUUCUGAAACUUCAGCCUAUCACAUUUGUGACUCGUUUCAGGAAACUAGGCAUAUGUCAGGCAUCACUACUUCACAGGAGAGGCAUGGACUUAAAAAAAAAUCUAAAUGCAUUUUUUGGGCAGAAAUGCCAUCUGGAACAUGUAUGCCAUCUGUAAAUAUGAAUAAAAUUGUUAAAAUGAUGAACCUAGUUGAUUUAACCACGGAAAAAGACAGGAACAUUGUGAGAUGGCGACCACAGAUAUGGCAGCUCUGCUUCUAGCUACUAAGCAACUUGGCAGUUAUUUCUUACAUUAUUACCCCAGGAAAUGUUUUGUGUUAUUACAUACAGAACUAUUCGAUAUCAGAGCGGCGGUAACUCACCAGCAAAAUUACCGGGAAUACAACUUUCUCAAAUUGGAUCCUGUGGUGUACGUACCCCCCGGGUCAAUUGAACUGUUUCCAGAGGCUGAUCCAAAACAAUGCCAUUGAAGAAGAGGUAUUCGGAGUGGACUUCUAGUCCAACUCAGGUGGCGCGCACACCAUCCACCACCUCCGAGUAUAUUACUCGCUAAUGUUCAGUCUCUGGAUAAUAAAGUAGAUGACCUCAGUGCAAGAAUCUUCUUCCAAAGAGACAUCAGGGAUUGUAACAUACUCUGUUUCAUGUAAACAUGAAUCUCUCGGGAUAUACUGUCCAUACAGCCAGCUGGGCUCUCAAUAUGUCUUGCUUCAAGAUGUCAACCAUUGUUCUGAGACCCAAGAAGGCAAAAGUAACUGAAAUAAAUUACUCUCGCCCCGUAGCACUCACUUCUGCCAUCAUGAAGUGCUUGGAGAGGCUAGGUGAUCAUAUCACCUCUACCUUACCUGACACCCUAGACCCACUUAAAUUUGCCCUAUUCCAUCUGGACAAGAGGAAUGCCUAUGUAAGAAUGCAUUUCAUUGACUAUAGCUCAGAAUUCAACACCAUAGUACCCUCCAAGCUCAUCAUUAAGCAACUGGGUCCUGGACUUCCUGACGGGCCGCCCCGAGGUGGUGAAGAUAGGGAACAUCUCCUCCACUUCGCUGCUCUUCAACAUAGGGACCCCACUAGGGUACGUGUUCAGCCCCCUCCCUGUUCACUCAUUACUGGUUGGCCACUGUGGGAGAAAUUAGGUACAUAUAUGGAUAAAUAUACUGUCCUAUAUAAAAGAAGGAUGCAUUUGCCAUUCUGGUAAGGUACAUUGUCUAUUGUAUAGGACAGGAAGCCAGAGUGGGGCCAUGGGAGAGGGCAACACAUAGACGCCUAGGGCAGCUGGACAUACAAAGGUCAGAGGUUGUCUAAGGAGGGGGUCAGCCAAAGGACCAACUGAUGGAUUACAGACAUCAAUCACAUCACAGGAGACAAGUCUGUUUGAUCUUAGACAACCACAUGAAGAGAAGGCGACCAGAACAGCUGGGCACCCUAAAGCUAAAGGAGAUGAAAGACACAUACAAAAGACACACAGAGUUAAUUACAGAGAUAAAGCAAGCCUAUAGCAUAGAGGAAUGUAUAGUAUUUUUAGUAUAGCUGAGCAUGCUAAAAACAGAAGAGACACAUAGUCUGCUGACCCUAGAUAACACACAAACAGGAGAACGCAUUAAGCUGAGUGAAGGGUCAAAGCAAGGGUCUUGUCACCAUUAGGAUCUAAUGGAAAGCAGAUGGGGGCGUUAUUGGGCUGAACAAGCAGGAAGCACGGAUUGGGAUGUAACUUAAUUUGCAUAUGGGAGGGACUUAUACGGUAGGUGUAUAACUCAGAGCGAGGGCUCUGAAAAAGUGUGUGUUCCGCGGACCGCUCCGGCUUAUGAUACUGUUAUAUUAAAAGUCUAUAUUGAUUUUCACAAAGUUCUUGGUUGUGUCAUAUUUGAACCGAUUUUCCACUACACCACUCACAAAUCCAACUCAAUUAUCAAGUUUGCAGACGACACAACAGUAGUACGACUGAUUACCAAACAUGACGAAACCCUGGGAGUGUGGUGCCAGAAAAAUAACCUCU
ensembl:lncRNA